AUAAAAAGUUUGACCUCAAAUCAGGUAGGAUUACCCGCUGAACUUAAGCAUAUCAAUAAGCGGAGGAAAAGAAACCAACAGGGAUUGCCUCAGUAACGGCGAGUGAAGCGGCAAAAGCUCAAAUUUGAAAUCUGGUAGUUUCACUAUCCGAAUUGUAAUUUGAAGAGAUAACUUUGGAAUUGGCUCUUGUCUAUGUUCCUUGGAACAGGACGUCACAGAGGGUGAGAAUCCCGUGCGAUGAGAUGACCAAUUCUAUGUAAAGUAUUCUCGACGAGUCGAGUUGUUUGGGAAUGCAGCUCUAAGUGGGUGGUAAAUUCCAUCUAAAGCUAAAUAUUGGCGAGAGACCGAUAGCGAACAAGUACAGUGAUGGAAAGAUGAAAAGAACUUUGAAAAGAGAGUGAAAAAGUACGUGAAAUUGUUGAAAGGGAAGGGCUUGAGAUCAGACUUGGUAUUGAUUUUAUCUUUACUGGGCCAGCAUCGGUUUGUACGGUGAGAUAAGACUUAUUGGAAAGUAGCUCAUCUUUUUGAGUGUUAUAGCCUUUAGUGAUGUCACCAGUAUAGACCGAGGACUGCGAUUUUAUAUCAAGGAUGUUGGCAUAAUGAUCUUAAGCCGCCCGUCUUGAAACACGGACCAAGGAGUCUAACGUCUAUGCAAGUGUUUGGGUGUAAAACCCGUACGCGUAAUGAAAGUGAACGUAGGUGAGAGCUUUUUUUUUAAAGCGCAUCAUCGACCGAUCCUGAUGUCUUCGGAUGGAUUUGAGUAAGAGCAUAGCUGUUGGGACCCGAAAGAUGGUGAACUAUGCCUGAAUAGGGUGAAGCCAGAGGAAACUCUGGUGGAGGCUCGUAGCGGUUCUGACGUGCAAAUCGAUCGUCGAAUUUGGGUAUAGGGGCGAAAGACUAAUC
rnacentral:rRNA from 1 species